UCUCUGGUAGUAUAUCGGUUAGUACACGCGCCUGUCAUAUUGAGGGAUAUGGAUUUGAUCCGCGCGAAAAGCUGGGUUCGACUCCCAGGCCAGAGAG